AGCAGUAGCCGCGGUAAUACGAAGGGUGCAAGCGUUAAUCGGAAUUACUGGGCGUAAAGCGUGCGUAGGCGGUGAGUUAAGUCUGCUGUGAAAUCCCCGGGCUCAACCUGGGAAUGGCAGUGGAUACUGGCAAGCUAGAGUGUGUCAGAGGAUGGUGGAAUUCCCGGUGUAGCGGUGAAAUGCGUAGAGAUCGGGAGGAACAUCAGUGGCGAAGGCGGCCAUCUGGGACAACACUGACGCUGAGGCACGAAAGCGUGGGGAGCAAACAGGAUUAGAUACCCCCGUAGUCCCUGUCUCUUAUAA
rnacentral:rRNA from 1 species